rnacentral:rRNA from 1 species
UGGCGGACGGGUGAGUAACGCGUGGGUAACCUGCCCUGUACAGGGGGAUAACAGUCAGAAAUGACUGCUAAUACCGUAUAAGACCACAGCACCGCAUGGUGCAGGGGUAAAAACUCCGGUGGUACAGGAUGGACCCGCGUCUGAUUAGCUGGUUGGUGAGGUAACGGCUCACCAAGGCGACGAUCAGUAGCCGGCUUGAGAGAGUGAACGGCCACAUUGGGACUGAGACACGGCCCAAACUCCUACGGGAGGCAGCAUG